GGUGGUAGCUUAGUGGUAGAGUGCAUGCCUAGCAUGCAUGAGGUCCUGGAUUCAAUCUCCAGUACCUCCA
rnacentral:tRNA from 1 species